UGCGUAGGGGGCAAGCGUUGUCCGGAAUCAUUGGGCGUAAAGAGCGUGUAGGCGGCCCGAUAAGUCCGCUGUGAAAGUCCAGGGCUCAACCCUGGAAUGCCGGUGGAUACUGUCGGGCUCGAAUCCGGAAGAGGUGAGUGGAAUUCCUGGUGUAGCGGUGAAAUGCGCAGAUAUUAGGAGGAACACCGGUGGCGAAGGCGCCGCUCUGGGCCGAAACUGACGCUGAGGAGCGAAAGCAUGGGUAGCAAACAGG
rnacentral:rRNA from 1 species